rnacentral:rRNA from 1 species
AUGUCUUCGUCGAGCAGAGUGGGAGGAGGAGUUCAGGGUGAUUGCAGUGCUCAUAAUGAUACACCAAUUGACUCUCGUUGUCCUGGUGAGGGUAAUGUCGGUGUGAGCUUUGAUCAGAGACGUCCCGUCUUGUCUGAAACACAAUCACAGUCUGUUGAUGGUACAGAGGAAGUUACACAGGAUUGGAUGGUCUCGGAACAGCUUCGUCAAUAUGAGUUGAAGCAAAGCAAGAAGAAGUUGAGGUUUGAAAUUGUGUCAAAAGAGUUUGCGGAGAAGGAGAAGCAGAGGAGAGGUGCAGAUGGUGCCAAGGGUGCUGGAAUGAAGAAGAAUCUUGGCAAGAGAACUGUUGAAGCUGGUGGAAAUGAUGAUCCUCUGCGCAAUCGACUACAUGUCAUUGAAGGUCCCAACUCUGAUGAUAAUGACUUUGUGCUUGCUGAUUAUGUGAAGGGUGUUCACCUUUGUAGACGCAAAGACUAUGGUUCAUCUAAGAGUCUACCCAAGUGUGCCCGUGAUGAUGUCAAUGAAGAUGUUGGUGGUGACUCUGGCAAGGAGGUGGAUGCUGCUCCAAAGUUGUCACUUCCCACUGUUUGCAAGGCUGCUUCUUUGUUGAAAGAGGCACAUUGUAGUCGUGUUAGGGAUGCUGGAUUUGGUGUUGUCUUUGAUCUGACAGUAAAGAAAAAUGUGUCGCACAUUCUUAUGUGCUAUCUGAUGGGAGUGAUUGACCCUGCCACCAUGGUAAUGGACUUUGGGAAUGGUAGGGUUCUUCAAAUCAAUCGUGAUGCAGUUCAUCACAUUUUUGAUUUACCUAUGGGAUGUCACAUUGCACCCAUGCCUGCUUCUAGUGGUCAUGAUGAAUCGUUGACUGCCCUCGAGGAUGAGCUUGGCUUUGACCGUUCAAAGAGUAUAGGUGUCAAGGACUUGCUUGAGAAGUUGAAGGUGUUGGUGGAGGAAGAUGAUUAUGUGACUGUUGACCUUGUCGUGAAGGUGUUCUUCCUGAUACUUUACCAGAAUUUGUUGUGCCCCGGGCCUGCAGUUCGUUUGGGUAGAGUUGCUGCAAUGGUAGAGAACAUGGAUUAUGCGGCUAUGGCUCAAAUGGACUUUUGCCAGCUUGUUGUUGAUGAGUUGUCGGCAGCUAUGCUUCACAAAUUUUCAGUCAUGCACACGUUGACGCCACGUGCGUCAUACCUGACGACCAAUGACCUGAUGAAGUUGUACAAUGAGGAUGUGCUUGUGAAGGGAAAUAUUUACUUGGAAAGUUACAAAUUUGGGAAGCUGCCGUGGAAGGCGUCAGGUGAUAUUGUGUACAACCGUCAUGUUGUAGUUGUACACGGCAGCUCUGAUGUGGGGCCUAGCACUCAUGCUAGGUUUUAUGAGCCUAUCUGUAGCCAGCUUCCUGCCUGUGAUGAUGAGGUGCCGCAUACUCGUGGUUUCAUGGCUCGACAGAUGUUUGAUAAUAGAAGCUCUUAUAAACAGACAUUUGUUGGCGGCAAAAAACACGAGGAGAUUGAUGAGCUUCUUCUGAAGGCUGGAGUGGAAUCUUCUGGUGUCGAUGGAACUAGGGACGAUGGAGUUGGUCAGACUGGUGUUGCUGCUUGUGAUGCGCACAAAGAGACCUACGAUGGCUCUGGAAAGGAUGAGGUCUUGGCUGAUGCAUCGUCCCCUCUGGAUGUUGUAGCUGAUAAGGUUGGAGAAGAAAACGUGGAAGUUCACGUUGAUCUGAAUCAAGGCAGUUGUGAUGUUGAUGGCGGUGGCAAUGUUGAUGCUUCUGCAUCGGUUGCCGUUGACUGUGCAGAUCCUUCUGUAGCUCAAGGAUCCCAUGAUGUUCCCACUAGUCGGCAUGAAGAUUCUAAUGUUGGCAUUGAAAAGCCACUGGAGAAUGUCGGCCCUGCUGUUAGUGUUGUUGCUUCCCCUGUUUGUCUGGUGUUCAAUGAUGUUCCGGAAGUAUCGAGAGUGGAGCCUCAUGUAGCUGAAGUAUCUAAGGACAUUGUCGUUGACCAGACUGUUGUAAAUCCAGAGAAUGCUGAUGUUGCUGUAGAAGGGCCGUCCAAUGACGAACUUCCUGUUGUGACACCGUCGAGCAUUGAUCCAGCUCUUCUGAAAAGAUACAAUGAGUUGUACGCUGUUGUUACGAGGGCUUGGAAGGACAAGAAGAAGAAGGACAUGAUUGCUUUUAAAACUGAGAUGGGUGAUAUUAGCAUUGGCGAAGUUGGUUUUGAUGGGGGGCUUCAUGAAGGUUGUACGUCACUAUUUGAGUCUCAGGGUUCUGAGGUGGUUAUGGAGGAUUGUGUCAUUGAAAUCUCUCCAGAUAAUUCUGGUUCUUUGGCUGGAGAUGGUUUGAACACAAAUGUGGUGUCUGGACCUGAUGGUGGAAGUGUCUCUCGACCUAGCUCUCCACACGAUGUAUAUGAUGUUGAUGAUGAUGAUUUUGUUACGCCAUGUCCAUGUGUCACUAGGACUAGGAGUGUAGCAAUUAAUCAUCCCCCUAUGGAUGAGGUUGAAGUAUUUUCGAACAAGAGGGCGGGUGAGAGGGCUUUUAAGUUGAGAUGCUCUAUAGAGAAAUUGAAGCCUUCGAAGUUCAAAUAUAUUGAUGAGGCGAUUAAAAUAAAGGAUCUUGUUCUUAGCAAAGAUUUCGUAACCAAAUACCACGAGAACGCGUUCUUUAUGGUGAGUAGUCCUUUUGGUGAUGUCGAUACUUACAAUGUCGACUAUAUCUAUGAUACAUUUGGCAAAGGAGCUUUAAUGGAUUCGUAUCUCAUGGAUUUUGUCAUCAAGUACUGGAAGCAAGACCCUGAAUUGGGUUUAGCUUAUCAAUCCGGUGAACGUGUGCUACUUUCACCUUUAUUUAUCAUGUACGUUCUUCAAAUGGAAACCUUUGUGGCAAGAUAUAAUGACAGAAACCCUGUGUUGCCAGUUGUGCAUAGCUCAUUUGUUUUAGAUGAUGAUGUUAAGCAGUUCAAGCAUGGCCAGACGCUUGAUAUCCAUGACAGUAGGAAGUACACUGGCCAUCCUGAUGUCACGUCAAGGUGGCGCAGGACUGACUACCACACAGAUUGCACUGAAGUGCCUGCUAUUGAAGAUUGGAAGGUGGAGUACAUGUUCCAACUGUUGUUCAAUCCUUCGAACAUGUUGUAUUAUGAAGACAUGCCGCUUGAGCUACGUGAUCUGAUUGCGGACCUCGGGUUCACUUCCCGGUCGCAAUCGCAGACGCAUUCGCAGACGCAGUAA